rnacentral:rRNA from 1 species
CCUACGGGUGGCAGCAGUGAGGAAUAUUGGUCAAUGGGCGCGAGCCUGAACCAGCCAAGUCGCGUGAAGGAUGACUGCCCUACGGGUUGUAAACUUCUUUUAUAAAGGAAUAAAGUGAGGCACGUGUGCCUUUUUGUAUGUACUUUAUGAAUAAGGAUCGGCUAACUCCGUGCCAGCAGCCGCGGUAAUACGGAGGAUUCGAGCGUUAUCCGGAUUUAUUGGGUUUAAAGGGAGCGUAGAUGGGUUGUUAAGUCAGGUGUGAAAGUUUGCGGCUCAACCGUAAAAGUGCAAUUGAUACUGGCAGCCUUGAGUACAGGAGAGGUAGGCGGAAUUCGUGGUGUAGCGGUGAAAUGCUUAGAUAUCACGAAGAACUCCGAUUGCGAAGGCAGCUUACUAAACUGCCACUGACAUUGAUGCUCGAAAGUGUGGGUAUCAAACAGGAUUAGAUACCCCUGUAGUC